GAAAUUACGAGUGUGACCAGUCCCAGACAGCAUGUAGUAAUCGGCCCGAGCUCGGCUGGCCCUCGGCUCAGACUCGGCAUCAGUGAGUGUUAUCUGGGCCGAGUGUGGCUCUGGUAAUGACUCGGCUCAGUUCAGUCAUAGAUGGUUACAUUAAUAUAGCAAUAAAUAACAUAAAACUAUUUUAAACUUGGCUUAAGAUCUUUACAGUAUCUUAUAAUGUUAAUUAUACGUCUAAUGUCGUGAAUUUGUCAAAAACAAAUUAUCUGCGAUAAAAUAUAAAAAAAAGAAAAAAAAGGUUUAUAGGACAGAACGUUCUAAAGCAAAUCUAUAUUUAUGUAACGCAGCAGGUCAUUCUUUUAUACGUUUGCUUGUAUGUAUUUUGAACACGCUUCAUUUCGCGCUCACGUGUAUCACCUUCAUUCGCUCAGCGUGGGCGGAGUCUCGUACCUGUGCUUGUGAGUGCUCUCUGCCAUGUUUGGGCAGUUUGGAUGCAAACAAAACAAUGGAUUAUUUACCAAGAGAUAUGGAUGUAUGAACUCAUUUCGAUAAAACGCUUCUGGUCUACUCUAGAGUUUUUACUCUGCAGAAAACUGACAAGCAACCCAACCCUCCAAACAGAGAGGAAGAUGAGGAUGAAGAUCAUAGUGGUCCAGCAUAUACAAAGAGAAAGAUGCUAAAUAUAAGCAGACUAUACAGAUGUUCAUCUCUGCCAAAACUCACGUGACUACAACGCAAACACAGCAUCACAGUUCAUGCUUCUUCACUCAGGAUGUAAAGACACACAGGAGUAACUGAUUAUUUCUCUUAACAUGCUACACAUUUAUUUUAAUAUUUCUAUGUUUUGUAGUAACCAACAGAAGCUGAAGGAAUGGCAGACAUUACUCAGACACAUGUGAACACUGAGCAGUGCUUGGAGUCCAAGACAGUGAAAUCAUCUUUAUUAUACUUCUGACUGAACUAGCAAGGGGCAUUAGAGACAAUGAGAAAGUAAGUUCAAGUAAAAUGUCUGCAUUGACCAUAUCACUGUGUUUUUUUCUGCAGUAACUGCAGGGAAUAUUAACUGAAGAGACCUUAUCAACAGCAAGCUUUGGAUCUACUGAAUGUGUAUUUUUCAAGCAUUUUAUUGCAGGGUUCACUGUUAUUUUUCUGCAUAGCGAUGACUGAUGAAAAGUUAUUAUUUACUUACUUCAAUGUAUAGUUAACCAGAAUUCUUUUACAUUUCACCAAACCUCUGACUUUUGUUUUUCUGCAGAACUCAAAAGAAGAUACUUUGAAGAAUGCUGGUAAUCAAACCCCACAAGUUUGUCAGAUAUGGACAGUAUGAAGGGGAAUAAAUGAUUUUCAUAUUUUGGGUGAACUCUCUUUAAUUAGCAUGCUACACACUAAAUAUUAAUCAUGCUGGGCGAAGCCACUUAUUGUGCUGUCACUGCAGUUAGUGCUGUAAAUAGUCUGUCAAAUAACAGGUACAUUGCUACAACAUACAUUUAAUGUAGUUCACAAUGAUGCAUUACGUUAGACCUUUACUAAUAGAUACUUGUGUAUUAUUUGCUCUUUACAGGUGCAGAGAUAAAAGCUCCCAAACAAAGAUGUCACCGGAUUAAGAAGUGGAAAGACAUGUUACACCACAACAACCAUAAAUCCUGAGUAAUUUGAAUAUGGGCAACAACCGAGGAAAAGUACCCAUUGUUUUACUUAAAAAAUGAUCCAUGGUAAUAGUAAUAGUAAAUGAUUAGAUAAAUAAAUAAAAAGUACAAAAUGGUUUUAAUUUUAAAACUCUGCCAUUUACUAAUGUGUUAUUCAAAACACUAAGUUUUGGUGUAUCUUUACAAUAAGGCAUCAUUACUUAACAUUAGUAAAUGUUGAAAUUAACAUUAAAUAACAAUGAGCAAUACAUUUGUUACAGUAUGCAUUAAUCUUUGAUACUGUUAAAAAACAACAACUGUUCUUUGUUAGUUCAUGUUAGCUCUGAUCCAUUAAAUAAUGUCAACAGGCACAAGUUUUGUUCUUAAUGUAUUAGUAAAUGUUGAAAUUAACUAGGUUAAUAUAUUAACUACAGUUAACUAAGGUUAAUGUUAAGUAUUUGUCAUGUUAGUUCAUGUUGGGUAGGUAACUAAUGUUACAAAUGAAACCUUAUUGUAAAUUGUGAAGUAUCACCUGUGUUUAUUGUUUAUACGUGUUAAAUUAUUAUUAUAAAUAAAUGUAAGGGUAAUUUAGCAAUGUGCAGUUUUUUAUAUUUGUAUAAACUUUCUGUAUAACUUGUAUUUUUUUUUCUUCUUUUUUGCUGUAAUUGCAUAGUUUUGUAAAUAAAUUGUAC
ensembl:lncRNA